AAUGAACGCUGGCGGCAGGCCUAACACAUGCAAGUCGAGCGAGCGGCGGACGGGUGAGUAAUGUAUGGGGACCUGCCCGAAAGAGGGGGUUAACUACUGGAAACGGUGGCUAAUCCCGCAUACUUGUGACUGAACGCAUAUGGGAUUAGCUAGUAGGUGGGGUAAAGGCUCACCAAGGCGACGAUCACUAGCGGGUCUGAGAGGAUGAUCGGCCACACUGGGACUGAGACACGGCCCAGACUCCGACGGGAGGCAGCAGUGGGGAAUCUUGCACAAUGGGCGAAAGCCUGAUGCAGCAAUGCCGCGUGUAUGAAGAAGGCCUUCGGGUUGUAAAGUACUUUCAGCGGGGAGGCGUUACCCGCAGAAGAAGCACCGGCUAACUACGUGCCAGCAGCCGCGGUAAUUC
rnacentral:rRNA from 1 species